rnacentral:rRNA from 1 species
GACGAACGCUGGCGGCGUGCCUAAUACAUGCAAGUCGAACGCAGUGGGGACGGGUGAGUAACCCGUGGGUAACCUCCCAUCAGAGGGGAUAACACUUGGAAACAGGUGCUAAACCGAUACUGAUGGAUGGGCCCGCGGUGCAUGAGCUAGUUGGUGAGGUAACGGCUCACAAAGGCCACGAUGCAUAGCCGACAUGGGAGGGUGAUCGGACAAACGGGGACUGAGACACGGCCCAGACUCCUACGGGAGGCAGCAGUAGGGAAGCUUCGGCAAGGGACGAAAGUCUGACCGAGAAACGCCGCGUGAGUGAAGAAGGUUUUCGGAUCGUAAAACGCUGUUGUUAGAGAAGCGGUAUCUAACCAGAAAGCCACGGCUAACUACGUGCCAGCAGCCGCGGUAAUUC